rnacentral:lncRNA from 1 species
GAGUAAUGUCUGCUUUAAUGUACACACACAUAUAUAGAGCAGGACUACUCUGCUAUUAGAAGCACAACAGUCCUUACACUUCAACAAAAACGGUGUAUGGCUACACUUUUAAAUGUCGGUACAGGUCAAAAAAAAUACUGCUGGCUAAAUUACCGACACUUUUUAAAAGUGUUGCUAUAUGUAGGGUCGCUAUAGGUAGGGUCACUUUAAUAUUUGGCACCCACUCCUCUUGCGACCUGUGGCGGAGGGAUAUGUGGCGAUCGUAGCCCUCUACGGUUGUUGCGAAAUCCUCGCGGCCAAACUCCAGCCGCCAGAACACUACCUCAUCAGCUACGGCGGCGAAGGAGGAGAAGGGGAGAUAGUGAUCAAUUUUUCUUUUUUUUUUUCUUUUUUAUUUGUAAUCGGGCCGAGUGAGCUGGGUGUGGUAGGUUGAGUAGAGGAACAUUUUGUUUUUGAUUGGAUUGGCCUUUAUAUUUAGGCCUUAUUAGAUUUUUAAAAAAAAAUUUGGCAUAAAUGGGUCACUUAUAUAAAAGUAUCCCAAAAAUGUGUCUUUAUAAUCUAAUUCUGUUAUAAUAAAUUAUAUGCUCCUAAAUUUC